CACCUGAAAACAGCUCCUGCGGCCAGCAGGUGGCAGCACGCUCGCGUUCAACACCCGCGGCUGAGCAAAGUGAGGGGCCUUUGUUCUGGGCCAGAGGCGGUGUCACGAAGAGAAAGGCCCAGAGGGGCAAGCUAAUCGGCCUGUCCUUAGCUGACCCGCGCCUACAGAGCCAGUGGACGAGCUCCCGCAGCUUGAUCUAAUGAAAGCAACCUUAGCAAACAAGAGACAGCCGUCCCAGCUCCUGCCCGCCCGCCCAUCCUCAGGGCUUAGGCCCGGCUGGGGCGGCACCGCGCAAACAGGCACCCGGGCCUUUCAAGAACCGAGCCAAGUGCCAAGGAUGUGUUUCCAGUUCGGAGGAGGGAAGCUCUUUACUCCUCCCUGCUACCCCUACCCACAAGCCUGCGCUGCUCCUUAUUUUGUUGACUGGAUUCUACUGGAGGGUCAGCCCCUCCUGGGAUAGUGGGAGUUCUACGUGGCUUACCUGGGAUCAUCCUGGCUAUAGCAAUGAGAGACCCAGGUCCUGGGAACCCCCAGUCCUGGGAGCCAUCCACUAUCCUCGUAGUCGGAGUGGCCUCCUGCCACACAGUAGGCACUUUCUGCGUGGAUGCUGCUGAUGGCGGUGCUGAAGGAGGGGGUUGGGGGGGGGGGGCCAAGCACAAGUCACGUGGGAUCACGGGCCUGACCAAAUCCAACAGGCAGGAUUGGAUUUCAUUCAUUUGCCAGACUUGCUCCUUUUGCUUUUUGUCGCAGGCAACUUUAGUUCUGCUCCUUCAUGCCUGUGCCUGAAGAGCCCCCCUGAACUGCCUCUCCCCCACUCAGCGUGCCUUUUUCACCUCCUUGGCCACGGCCACUUGCUCCGAGGCAGAGCAAACGGAGCUUCCGAACUGACAAGAUCCUCAUCUAAUAAAUGGUGCAGAAGAUUAGUCGCGACAGGGCUCAGAUGUGAACCGAUUUUCCUGCAGGCUGAGACUCCUGCUUAAGAUCCACUGGGGGUUAUUAGCGGAGCCUGUAAGAUGUUGGCUAUGCAGAGUGAUGUGAUAUGUCGGCGGUGCGGGAAUAUCAAUGCUCGGCCCGAAUUCAGUGGAGAGAGGCAGAGCCGAGGAUGCUUGGGGGGCGGGGAGGGACACCUGAUUCUCGGCCCCCACUUGACCAACGGCAGAGUUCACUGCACAGCGUCAGGUGCGGGUGUCUGGCCGGCAGAGGGAGGCACAGAUGUGGAGUGAGCCAGGAGGGGCUGCUUUGAAGACUGUGCCUGGGGGGUGGGGGGGUGAGCAUUUCGUCUUCGUUCACUGUUCACCGGAACCAUCCGACUUCACGUACCAACACUGAGUGCUUCCUCUGUGCUGGGCAACCCCUCUCUCCGAACAUCACAGCACCUGCCGCGUAUCUUAAGCACCCAUUUCAUUCAUCCUGGCAUGAUAGCCAGCUUUUUAUACUCUUCCGCUGGGUUUUAAGUUUCUUGAGAUCAGAGACUCUGUCUGACUCAUCCCUGGCCUUUGAGCCUUGCAAGAAUAAGUACCUAGCAUGCAUUUGCUGAAUAAAUGAAUUAAUGCAUCAAGGAACCAGUCAAUUGCUUAGUAAGUAUUUAUGGACUAUGUACUCUAAUAGAGUUUUGGCAGGAUAAUCCGUUUUCUGUGCUGGAAGCUCCUAGGCAGGGUCCUCCUGAUAAAGAGACCGUCCUUCUUUAUUACUUGACUGUCUCUUAAAGUGGUUGAAAUUUGUAGGCGUAAUACGUGAGGGGCUAAGGCAAAGUGAUUAUAAUUUGGUGGGUGGGAUUGAGUCCCUAUGCUGUGGUUGAGAUGUAAAAGCUUCAUUUUCUUCUAGCUAAAUGUUUUUGAGAGUUUGGGGAGUUGUUUGUGCCUGGGCAGUCCGGUCCCUGAAUAACUGGCCAUUCUCCUUAAGAAUCAAGAAGAAACCCAACAAGAGAUGACCAAUGUGACUGUUUUCUGGCACAGGAGGAAGCUUCAGACACCUCUUUACUGGUGCGGACUGCUUAGGUUGGGUCAGUCUUAGGAAGUUCUGCUCUUUCCCCUCCUCAGAAGGAUCUGGUUUUCCUGGGUGAGACUCGGAAAGGACGUUCUUGAAAAGACCAAGCUAUGGAGACGGAGACCGGCUCAGUGUUGUCAGAGGUUAGGAGAAGGU